rnacentral:rRNA from 1 species
UCCUACGGGGGGCAGCAGUGAGGAAUAUUGGUCAAUGGCCGAGAGGCUGAACCAGCCAAGUCGCGUGAGGGAAGACGGCCCUACGGGUUGUAAACCUCUUUUGUCAGGGAGCAAAGGCGUCCACGUGUGGACGAGAGGAGAGUACCUGAAGAAAAAGCAUCGGCUAACUCCGUGCCAGCGGCCGCGGUAAUACGGAGGAUGCGAGCGUUAUCCGGAUUUAUUGGGUUUAAAGGGUGCGUAGGCGGAGUGUCAAGUCAGCGGUAAAAUUUCGGGGCUCAACCACGUCGUGCCGUUG